rnacentral:tRNA from 1 species
UAGAGUAUAGCUUAAACUAAAGCACUUCGCUUACACCGAAGAAAUGUCUGCCAAACCCAGUCUACUCUAAG